rnacentral:rRNA from 1 species
AUUGAACGCUGGCGGCAGGCCUAACACAUGCAAGUCGAACGAGUGGCGGACGGGUGAGUAAUGUCUGGGAAACUGCCUGAUGGAGGGGGAUAACUACUGGCAACGGUAGCUAAUAACGCAUACCAUCGGAUGUGCCCAGAUGGGAUUAGCUAGUAGGUGGGGGAAAGGCUCACCUAGCCGACGAUCCCUAGCUGGUCUGAGAGGAUGACCCGCCAAGCUGGAACUGAGACACGGUCCAGACUCCUACGGGAGGCAGCAGUGGGGAAUAUUGCACAAUGGGCGCAAGCCUGAUGCAGCCAUGCCGCGUGUAUGAAGAAGGCCUUCGGGUUUUAAAGUACUUUCAGCGGGGAGGCGUUACUCGCAGAAGAAGCACCGGCUAACUCCGUGCCAGCAGCCGCGGUAAUUC